CAGGCUUCCACAUGCAAGUCGAAGCGGCAGCGACACAUUGAACCUUCGGGGGAUUUGUUGGGCGGCGUAGCGGCGGACGGGUGUAGUAAUGCCUGGGAAAUUGCCCUGAUGUGGGGGAUAACCAUUGGAAACGAUGGCUAAUACCGCAUGAUAGCUUCGGCUCAAAGAGGGGGACCUUCGGGCCUCUCGCGUCAGGAUAUGCCCAGGUGGGAUUAGCUAGUUGGUGAGGUAAGGGCUCACCAAGGCGACGAUCCCUAGCUGGUCUGAGAGGAUGAUCAGCCACACUGGAACUGAGACACGGUCCAGACUCCUACGGGAGGCAGCAGUGGGGAAUAUUGCACAAUGGGCGCAAGCCUGAUGCAGCCAUGCCGCGUGUAUGAAGAAGGCCUUCGGGUUGUAAAGUACUUUCAGCAGUGAGGAAGGGGGUAUCGUUAAUAGCGGUAUCUUUUGACGUUAGCUGCAGAAGAAGCACCGGCUAACUCCGUGCCAGCAGCCGCGGUAAUACGGAGGGUGCGAGCGUUAAUCGGAAUUACUGGGCGUAAAGCGCAUGCAGGUGGUUUGUUAAGUCAGAUGUGAAAGCCCGGGGCUCAACCUCGGAAUUGCAUUUGAAACUGGCAGGCUAGAGUACUGUAGAGGGGGGGUAGAAUUUCAGGUUGUAGCGGGUGAAAUGCGUAGAGAUCUGAAAGGAAUACCGGUGGGCGAAAGGCGGGCCCCCUGGACAGAUACUGACACUCAGAUGCGAAAGCGGUGGGGAGCAAACAGGAUUAGAUACCCUGGUAGUCCACGCCGUAAACGAUGUCUACUUGGGAGGUUGUGGCCCUUGAGCCGUGGCUUUCGGAGCUAACGCGUUAA
rnacentral:rRNA from 1 species